rnacentral:rRNA from 1 species
UUGGAUCCAGACUUUGAUUCUGGCUCAGAUUGAACGCUGGCGGCAUGCCUUACACAUGCAAGUCGAACGGCAGCAUGGAGAGCUUGCUCCUGAUGGCGAGUGGCGAACGGGUGAGUAUUACAUCGGAACGUGUCCGUUUGUGGGGGACAACCGUCCGAAAGGAUGGCUAAUACCGCAUAAGACCUGAGGGUGAAAGCCGGGGACCGCAAGGCCCGGCGCAGACGGAGCGGCCGAUGAUUGAUUAGCUAGUUGGGGAGGUAAAGGCUCACCAAGGCGACGAUCAAUAGCUGGUCUGAGAGGACGACCAGCCACACUGGAACUGAGACACGGUCCAGACUCCUACGGGAGGCAGCAGUGGGGAAUUUUGGACAAUGGGGGCAACCCUGAUCCAGCCAUGCCGCGUGCGGGAAGAAGGCCUUCGGGUUGUAAACCGCUUUUGUCAGGGACGAAAAGCUCCGGAGUAAUAUGCCGGAGUGCUGACGGUACCUGAAGAAUAAGCACCGGCUAACUACGUGCCAGCAGCCGCGGUAAUACGUAGGGUGCAAGCGUUAAUCGGAAUUACUGGGCGUAAAGCGUGCGCAGGCGGUUGGGUAAGACAGAUGUGAAAUCCCCGGGCUUAACCUGGGAACUGCAUUUGUGACUGUCCGACUGGAGUACGUCAGAGGGGGGUGGAAUUCCACGUGUAGCAGUGAAAUGCGUAGAUAUGUGGAAGAACACCGAUGGCGAAGGCAGCCCCCUGGGACGCAACUGACGCUCAUGCACGAAAGCGUGGGGAGCAAACAGGAUUAGAUACCCUGGUAGUCCACGCCCUAAACGAUGUCUGCUGGUUGUUGGGAAUUUAAUUCUCAGUAACGAAGCCAACGCGUGAAGCAGACCGCCUGGGGAGUACGGUCGCAAGAUUACAACUCAAAGGAAUUGACGGA